GCACCGUACCAUGCGGCGUGGGGACAGACUGCAAAUCUGUCUUAAGCUGGUUCGAUUCCAGCACGGUGUG
rfam:Clostridium hathewayi CAG:224 genomic scaffold, scf102